UAGGUGGCAAGCGUUAUCCGGAUUUACUGGGUGUAAAGGGCGUGUAGGCGGGGAAGCAAGUCAGAUGUGAAAUUCCAGGGCUCAACCCUGGCACUGCAUUUGAAACUGUUUUUCUUGAGUGAUGGAGAGGCAGGCGGAAUUCCGUGUGUAGCGGUGAAAUGCGUAGAUAUACGAAGGAACACCAGUGGCGAAGGCGGCCUGCUGGACAUUAACUGACGCUGAGGCGCGAAAGCGUGGGGAGCAAA
rnacentral:rRNA from 1 species